rnacentral:rRNA from 1 species
AGAAUCAACGCUGGCGGCGCGCUUAACACAUGCAAGUCGAGCGAGAAAGGGGAGCAAUCCCUGAGUAAAGCGGCGUACGGGUGAGUAACACGUGGGUAAUCUACCUUUUAGUGUGGAAUAACCCUGGGAAACCGGGCUAAUACCGCAUAAGCCUGAGAAGGGAAAGCAGCAAUGCGCUGAAAGAGGAGCCCGCGGCCGAUUAGCUAGUUGGUGGGUAACGCCCACAAGGCGAUGAUCGGUAGCCGGCCUGAGAGGGCACACGGCCACACUGGCACUGAAACACGGGCCAGACUCCUACGGGAGGCAGCAGUGGGGAAUCUUGCACAAUGGAGGCAACUCUGAUGCAGCGACGCCGCGUGAGCGAUGAAGCCCCUCGGGGUGUAAAGCUCUUUCGGCAGGGACGAUAAUGACGGUACCUGAAGAAGAAGCUGCGGCUAACUACGCGCCAGCAGCCGC